GGCGAACGGGUGAGUAAUGCAUCGGAACGUGCCCAUGUCGUGGGGGAUAACGUAUCGAAAGGUACGCUAAUACCGCAUACGUCCUGGGGGAGAAAGCGGGGGAUCUUCGGACCUCGCGCGAUUGGAGCGGCCGAUGUCGGAUUAGCUAGUAGGUGAGGUAAAGGCUCACCUAGGCGACGAUCCGUAGCGGGUCUGAGAGGAUGAUCCGCCACACUGGGACUGAGACACGGCCCAGACUCCUACGGGAGGCAGCAGUGGGGAAUUUUGGACAAUGGGGGCAACCCUGAUCCAGCCAUGCCGCGUGAGUGAAGAAGGCCUUCGGGUUGUAAAGCUCUUUCGGCCGGGAAGAAAUCGUGGUCUCUAACAUAGGCCAUGGAUGACGGUACCGGACUAAGAAGCACCGGCUAACUACGUGCCAGCAGCCGCGGUAAUACGUAGGGUGCGAGCGUUAAUCGGAAUUACUGGGCGUAAAGCGUGCGCAGGCGGUUUUGUAAGACGGAUGUGAAA
rnacentral:rRNA from 1 species